GAUCUCGGUGCUUACAGAGUAAUGAAAGGCUGGAAGGAAUGGAAAGGAAGGGGGCAGUGUGCAGGUCACCGGGCUUUUAUGAAGAUAAAUUAAAGUAAUACAACAGAAACAAACUGGACCUCAGGCUAUCAAGGAUGAAAAAUGAAGCAA